rnacentral:lncRNA from 1 species
GGGGGUUAUUGGAUCAUUGAUUUUGAUGGAUUUGGAAAUUCAAACAAAAGUCCUCUGUUAUUCAAUCAUUGAUUUUAAAAUAACUAUCAAAAUCAUGUGUUAUUAGUUGUAUGAUUUAUAAAUACUAGUUAAAAUCCUAUGUUAUUCGUUUAGUGAUUUGUUUUUGGAUUUUAAAAUCCGAAGUAUGUUUUAAAUAGAUUUGAAAGGAUUUGAUAGUGUAAAAUAGAAAGAUUCAAAUCCAAGGAUAAAACAUGUUAUUUCAAAAUCCAUGUAUUUUGAUUUCAUAAAUAAUAAGGAUUCACAAAUUCUAAGUGGAUUUAUAAAUCCAUAAACCAAUA